rnacentral:rRNA from 1 species
ACACUAACUGGAGGACCGAACCGACUAAUGUUGAAAAAUUAGCGGAUGACCUGUGGCUGGGGGUGAAAGGCCAAUCAAACCGGGAGAUAGCUGGUUCUCCCCGAAAGCUAUUUAGGUAGCGCCUCGUGAAUUCAUCUCCGGGGGUAGAGCACUGUUUCGGCUAGGGGGCCAUCCCGGCUUACCAACCCGAUGCAAACUGCGAAUACCGGAGAAUGUUAUCACGGGAGACACACGGCGGGUGCUAACGUCCGUCGUGAAGAGGGAAACAACCCAGACCGCCAGCUAAGGUCCCAAAGUCAUGGUUAAGUGGGAAACGAUGUGGGAAGGCCCAGACAGCCAGGAUGUUGGCUUAGAAGCAGCCAUCAUUUAAAGAAAGCGUAAUAGCUCACUGGUCGAGUCGGCCUGCGCGGAAGAUGUAACGGGGCUAAACCAUGCACCGAAGCUGCGGCAGCGACACUGUGUGUUGUUGGGUAGGGGAGCGUUCUGUAAGCCUGCGAAGGUGGCCUGUGAGGGUUGCUGGAGGUAUCAGAAGUGCGAAUGCUGACAUAAGUAACGAUAAAGCGGGUGAAAAGCCCGCUCGCCGGAAGACCAAGGGUUCCUGUCCAACGUUAAUCGGGGCAGGGUGAGUCGACCCCUAAGGCGAGGCCGAAAGGCGUAGUCGAUGGGAAACGGGUUAAUAUUCCCGUACUUGGUGUUACUGCGAAGGGGGGACGGAGAAGGCUAUGUUGGCCGGGCGACGGUUGUCCCGGUUUAAGUGUGUAGGUGUGUGUUCCAGGUAAAUCCGGUUCACUUUAACACUGAGGCGUGACGACGAGGCACUACGGUGCUGAAGCAACAAAUGCCCUGCUUCCAGGAAAAGCCUCUAAGCAUCAGGUAACAUCAAAUCGUACCCCAAACCGACACAGGUGGUCAGGUAGAGAAUACCAAGGCGCUUGAGAGAACUCGGGUGAAGGAACUAGGCAAAAUGGUGCCGUAACUUCGGGAGAAGGCACGCUGACACGUAGGUGAAGUGAUUUACUCAUGGAGCUGAAGUCAGUCGAAGAUACCAGCUGGCUGCAACUGUUUAUUAAAAACACAGCACUGUGCAAACACGAAAGUGGACGUAUACGGUGUGACGCCUGCCCGGUGCCGGAAGGUUAAUUGAUGGGGUCAGCGCAAGCGAAGCUCCUGAUCGAAGCCCCGGUAAACGGCGGCCGUAACUAUAACGGUCCUAAGGUAGCGAAAUUCCUUGUCGGGUAAGUUCCGACCUGCACGAAUGGCGUAAUGAUGGCCAGGCUGUCUCCACCCGAGACUCAGUGAAAUUGAACUCGCUGUGAAGAUGCAGUGUACCCGCGGCAAGACGGAAAGACCCCGUGAACCUUUACUAUAGCUUGACACUGAACAUUGAGCCUUGAUGUGUAGGAUAGGUGGGAGGCUUUGAAGUGUGGACGCCAGUCUGCAUGGAGCCGACCUUGAAAUACCACCCUUUAAUGUUUGAUGUUCUAACGUGGACCCGUUACCCGGGUUGCGGACAGUGUCUGGUGGGUAGUUUGACUGGGGCGGUCUCCUCCUAAAGAGUAACGGAGGAGCACGAAGGUUGGCUAAUCCUGGUCGGACAUCAGGAGGUUAGUGCAAUGGCAUAAGCCAGCUUGACUGCGAGCGUGACGGCGCGAGCAGGUGCGAAAGCAGGUCAUAGUGAUCCGGUGGUUCUGAAUGGAAGGGCCAUCGCUCAACGGAUAAAAGGUACUCCGGGGAUAACAGGCUGAUACCGCCCAAGAGUUCAUAUCGACGGCGGUGUUUGGCACCUCGAUGUCGGCUCAUCACAUCCUGGGGCUGAAGUAGGUCCCAAGGGUAUGGCUGUUCGCCAUUUAAAGUGGUACGCGAGCUGGGUUUAGAACGUCGUGAGACAGUUCGGUCCCUAUCUGCCGUGGGCGCUGGAGAACUGAGGGGGGCUGCUCCUAGUACGAGAGGACCGGAGUGGACGCAUCACUGGUGUUCGGGUUGUCAUGCCAAUGGCACUGCCCGGUAGCUAAAUGCGGAAGAGAUAAGUGCUGAAAGCAUCUAAGCACGAAACUUGCCCCGAG